CAAGUAACACAACACCUCACAGGUUCACUUUCCCAAGUUACCAGGAGCCCUGGAAAACAAGGGCAAUGCCUUGCCCCUCUCUGCUCUCUUUCAUGACCUGGUGCGUAGUUGGUGCUCAGGCAUUUGUUGCUGUGAUUUACUGUCAUGAUUAAGUGUGUUUGGUGCAACUUGUAACAGUCUUGACUCACGUGCCUGCUCUAGUCUGGGGGUGAUGCCUGAUUGGGUACCGUGUGAAGCUGCAUUAGAUACAGUGGGAGGAGUGCUGGCUGGAGACCAGCGAGGGAGGGGUGUCUGCUGCAGGGGCACCUGGGAGCAGGGGCAGUAGGCACAUGGCAGUCGUUUGUCUUUUCCGAUAAGUACAUUGUGCUUACAGCAGAGGGGGGUGGAAGAGUGCUCAGAGGAAAUGAAACUCCCCAGUCUUCCCUGAAAGGGAGGGGCAGGAUUUAGAGAAAUAGAAAGAAGUGCUUUCAGUGAUGGAGAAGUACAAUGACAGAGACCACGGGUACCAGUGAGUCUGACAUAUAUGCAGGGUAUUAUGGGAGUUGACAGACUGGAGCAGAGGGAGUAGAGGAGGAGGAUGGAGACUUGGGUAGGACGGAGGCCCUGUGCCUGGUGGGGUGACAUGUCAGCUGGUGGUUGGUAGGCAGAGUGUAGACAGAUUGUGUAGAGGUCCUUGGGGAUGCCAGAUGGAGGAAUUUAGGCGUGAUACAGUCCCAUGCUUUUCAUGAAGCUUUCCCAAAUGCUCCAGACACAAUUAAUUGCUCCAUUCCACAUCUCCCCACAGGAGAUUCCCAGUACUCUGCUUUAGCUUUGAUUGUCAUCUGCCGUGUCUGGAAAUGUUUCUGUAUACAUCUGCUGUCCUCCUCCAGGACAUGGAUGGUGUCUUAGGCAUCUUUAAUCUGCACUGCUCAGGACUGCACCUGGUAUGGAAUAGACAUCCAGGGAAUGUGGUUGAAUCAAAUGGGAAUAGGGUGCCUGCACUGCCAACCAGGGUGGGGCAAAGGAGGGCAGUGCCUCUGUGGUGAAGCUGGGUGAAGAAGAGUGUGGCUGCCAACUGUCCCCACUACCAAGGGAACUCAGUCUGUGUCCCAGGAUGGGUGGGCUGGGAAGCAAGGCAAGUCUCAGGCAUCAAGUUUACAGGGGUGUGUAGAAUCCUGGAAGCCAGUUGGAAUUGAAGGCAGAACAGAGAAAAGAUGAGGUGGAAGGAGGAAAUUUGGAGAACUGAGACUAGGUGAAUUCCCAGAGGCAAUGACUUUGCAAGGCUCAUGGGUCCUAUGUGUGGAGAACCAUCCCUAAGCCUGUGAGUCAAAGGGAAUUAUCCAAGGAGUUGAAUCUCUUGAGAGAUGAGGAAUUGCUGAAGAUUCUCUUAGAUGAUUUAACUUUCAGAGAAGCAGAAUGAUCCUGUAGGCCCUGGGUAUUAGCUGGAACUCUUUGUUUGCAGCUGACCAAAACCCCAAUCCAAACUGGCUCAGUUUAUUGGCUUUUGUAACCAGAAAGCCCUAGGUGGGAGAAUUUUGGCUUCAGGUUCAGCUUGAUCCAGGGGCUCAUAUAGAGGCAUCAGAGCUGGGUGCCUUCUUUUUCUGAGCUUCUCUUUCUCUUUGACUCUCUUCCCAUUUUUUGACCUGGUGUUCGUUAGUGUUGGCUUUUCAUCUUCAUGUCCUCAUGGUAACUCUAGGCUUAUAGCCUCUGAGGGCUAAAUCAAGCCAAUGACAGAACUUCUGGCCGAGAGGCUUAGUGAAACUCUGGAUGAGUUCUACCUGACUUGGUUGGUAGGUACUGGGUCACAUGCCUAUCCUUGAACCAAUAACCUGGGUCACACACCGACCCAUGUAGCCCCUGGACUGAAAGUAGGAAAGACUCAGUUCUCAGAGGAAAGUCAGGGAACUGUUACCCUGAAAGUUUUGCUGGGUGGCAAGACCAUAAUGAGCUACCCUCGGCCAGCUGCUUUCUUUAGCCCCUGUAGCACAGCAGCAGCUGCCUCUGCCCUGCUGGGGAAUGAGGAGGCCACAUCUAGAGAGAGUGCCCUGUCAGCUUCCCCUGCUCUCUUCCCACGGGCCGGAUGUCUUUGAAGUUGGUCUCCACGGAGUGAUCGGCCAGGCCACCCGCUGGCCACCUCCAUUUGUCAUCUCAAGUACAUUCUGGAUGGCACCCUGGGCAGUGGCCCUGCCUGGCCUGGAUGGUCAUGAGGUCAUUGGGCUGGCAUCGGUCCUAUUGAUUUGUGUCUGUGUCCAAUCCUCCUAUCAGGACUCCACUUCUGGAGCCUGGGAGCACGGCCUUGCCCUGUCCUGUCCCGCGCAGCCUCUGAUGGUGAGUGUCUGGCGGUCCCCAGGGCUCUUUCCCACUCCACUUAUUCUGAUUUUCACUGUCACCUGGUGGGCAAAGGUGACUAUCCCAGUUUUACAGAUGAGGAAGCCGAGAAGCAGAAGGGGUAAAUGACAGCCUGGUGCCAUGGGAGGUGAACUCACUCGCAUCUUCCCCCUGAUUUGUCCUUUUAAACCAAAGGUGAAGGAGCACGAAGGCACAUUGACUAUUCCUGCCAGCCUCUUCAGGUAAAUGUGGCCUCAGCUGUCCUUGGCGGCCUGCUAGGCACAUGCAUCAUGAAUACCUGCAGAGGAAAGCGUGACCUCUGUUUAUGUCCCAGCAAGCUUGAGCUGAGGCCACCUGCUGCUCCCCCUCCUGAGGUCCCUGGCAGAGUUGCUAGAGGUUGAAACCCUGUAAGAGUGGCAGUGGCUCCUGAGGGCACCUCCAGAAACAUGAGGCAGUAGCUGAGAGUGUCUCUCGGGCGACAUGGAGUGACCCAGUCACCUGACAAGGCAGCAGCUGCACUUGGAUGUUGCUGCUUCUGGUUGGCUGUCUUCUCCAGGGUCCCUAGGCCCUCACACGGCUCCCCUAUGGGGCCCGAGUCUAGACAUGGCUCAUCAGAUCAUAGCGAAUUGUGGAUUCACAGCUGGAAGACAUCAUCCAUUCAGGCUGCUUGUUUUACAGCUGAGAAGCAGAGGUCAAACCUCAGAACCUUAUCUCAAGUCCCCCAUGUCCUUGUCCCUUUAGUCUCCCCCUCUCCUCAUACCUGUGCUCCUGCAGCUCUGGACCUCUCAUUGCCCUUGGCCCAUUUGCCUUUGUGGGUGCUCCUCCCUCCAACUGGAGGCAGUUGUGGGUGCAGAGCAGGAGCUGUGAGGCUCUACCCGAAUGUUUAGUUGUGGGCAUUUUAAUGGGGCUGGAGCCUGUGGUAUUGUUAUGGGUGGUAUGUUUGUGGCCCUCCAGGUUCAUGUGUUCAAAACUUAACUCCGGUGAGAUGGUGUUUAGAGGUGGGGUCUUUGGGAGCUGAUUGGGGUGGUUAGGUCUUGAGGGUAGGGCCUUCUUGAUGGGAUUAGUGCCGUGAGAAGAGGAGGAAGAGAGAUCUCUACAUGUAUAUACCCAUCAGGAAAGGCCUGCCAGGACAUCACGAGAAGGCAGCUGUCUACAAGCCUGGAAGAGGGCUCUCACCAGACCCCAGAUCCACCAGCACCUUGAUAUUGGAAUUCCCAGCCCCCAGACUGUAAGGUCUCUGUUGUUUAAGCCAUCCAGUCUAUGGUAUUUUGUUAUGGCAGCUUGAAUUGACUGAAAUAUAAUUAUGGAACUUCUAAGCGGGAAGGGCUGGUGAAUAAUGUUUGGUCAAAAUCUCUCAUUUUGCCUAUCUAUUUAUUCAUUUAUAAAUAUCGAGUAUAUUUUUGUGCCAGACUUGGGAAUACAGUGAUGCAUGAAAUAGAAAUGGUUUCUGAUUUUAUAAGAAAUUAUCACUUACUGAGAGACAAGUACCAAAGAUACAGUUUUUUAAAAAAAAUUGUAAUAUUCCACUGUGAAAUGACUGGCCAGUGGGGACCUGCUGUAUAGCACAGGGAAUUCUACCCCCAAUAUUCUGUGGUAAUCUGUAUGGGAAAAGAAUCUGGAAAAGAAAGGAUGAGUGUACAUGUAUAACUCAAUCACUCUAUUGUGCAGCAGAAAUUCUCACAACACUGGAAAUCAACUAUAUUUCAAGAAAACUUGACAAAAUGAAAAAAAUUCCAUUGUGAAUAGGGCUAUGCAGAAAUGCAGCAAGCUUUGAUAGCAUAUACCAGGGGCUGGAAUGUAGUAUGGGAGAUCAGCAAAGUUUUGCUGAGAAACUGUCAUUUAAGUGGAGCCUUGAAGCACAGGUAGAACUUAGCCUGAUGAAAAGGCAUGAAUGGUGGAGUGGUGGUUCUAGAGCAAGGGAACAGGACGUGGCCCUGAGUCAGUCACGGCAGAGCCAGGGCCAGCAGAGGACAACUCCCAGCCCUGGGUUCUCACCACACCCUGUGCUGGGCUUCGGUGAGCCCGUUUCAGAGUCAUGUGCUCCCACGGAGGGGAGGUGACGUAGGCGGGGCAGGUUCACGGGGGCAGGGUUGGGUGGGGGUGAAACAGGGUGGGCAGAGGCAUGUGGAAGGGAAAGCCUGGACUUGGGGGUACAGUGGGCGGGAGCAGGUUUGGCCAUGACUUGGAGUGGAGGCUCCUGCAGGAGGGAUGUGAACGAGGAGGAAGGUACAGGAGCCUGGACAGUGGUGAACAUUCACUGGAGGCUCAGCUUGGGAUUGAAAAGGGAGGGCUUCUGAGCUGUUGGAAUCAGCUGUUGUCUCCAUAGUCCGACCCCUUAUGCCAGGCUUGUUCUAGGGAGGCUUUUUGGUAACGGGGAAUGAUUCCUACCCUGCCUAUUUUUCUUUUUGGUACAUAUGUUAGAAUCCCACAUUCUCACAUUUUUAUAGCCCCUAUAGGUCUUGCUUUGUUGCUUAAUUCCUCCUCUACCUCCUAGUAGCCCCUGUGAGUACCUUAUGUGGGCCCAGUACAGUGCUGGAAGCUGGGGUCACAACAAUGGUGGGAGGUGAUCUCUGCCCAUGGGGAGCCCAGGCCUGCAGGAGGCAGAAGAGAUAUGUGUGCAGGGGAAACUCUGUUUUCUAUUGCCAGCAUGUACGUGUCAGGUUGACUAGGUCACCCAAGGUUGCUGGAGACACCCUCUCUGCUGCUGCCUCCCACUUCAUCAGUUGCCCUGCAAAGACUUGGGCCCUGUGAGUAGAUGAGCAAAUCAAAGAGGUGAAUCUUACCUGGCUCAUCAAGCCUUUGUAGGUGAGGAGCUCUGUGAAGGUAGGGGUCAGGCUUUCUGAGGAGGAACCAGGUGCUCAGGAAUGGAUGGAUGGAUGAAGGAUGUAUUGAUGACGAUGGAUAUUGUUACCACAGCACUUGAAAAAGGACGCUUGAAUAUAGGACGGCAGACAACCAAAUACAAUUAAGGAUCCUGGCAUCUCUAAUUCCCUGCUAGGUGACAGUUUCUGUUUCUCAAGGCUCUACAUGGGGUUCCCUGGUUUAGAGACUGUAGGUUUGGAGCCUCUCCUGUUCAGUGAAACAUCAGUGUAUAAAGAAGAUAAAUCAGGGUUCAGAAUUAGAUUCUGAGCCUUUAUGUCUCUAGUGACUUGAAUCUCAUAGGGGACUUUGAUCCACAUGAUAGGGUGGUCUCUGGGUAAGAACUGGUUCUUUCUUGAGAGAUGGUUUGGGUGUCUCUGCCCACCCAGGAUCCUCGGUGAGUGGGGAGGAUCCUUGCUGGUGGCUGGGUGUGUGUCACGAGCACAUGGCUGUUCCUGGCCAGUGCAGGGAGACUGGGAUGCAGGAGUCAUGUACUCUUUUCAUUUACCCUGGGGUAGAGCUUUUAAUGUGCAGCCCCUGCCCAGAGGUCACCUCAUUUCAAGUUCAUUCAGGAGAGCUCUUGCUUGUCUCUCUAUACCCGUCCCAUCCCUUCAUCCUCACCAUUGUUUAUUCCUCAUGCUCCCCCUCCAUCCUGGCCACUGACUCCAUAUCUUCUCUGUGAGACGUCCCGCAGGUGCUUUAGCCAGGUGCACGUUGCCAUCUCACCCCAUGAGGAACCUGACUUUUCCUGGUGGCUUCCUUUUCAAAUGACUAACUGAACAUUCUCUUUCUCUGCUGAACAGUCAUCUUGUGAAGUAAUUACCUUCCCUUCCCAUAAUUGCUGUUUUGCAAGAUGUUUUUUCUUUUCAGGCCUGCACCUGAAGCAUAUGGCAGUUCCCAGGCUAGGGGUCUAAUCAGAGCUGCAGCUGCCAGCCUACCCCACAGCCAUGGCAAUACUGGGUCUGAGCCACAUCUGUGACCUACACUGAAGCCUGUGGCAAUGCCACAUCCUUAACUCAGUGAGGCCAGGGAUCGAACCAGCAUCUUCAGGGAUACUGUGUUGGGUUCUUAGCCCACUGAGCCACAAUAGGAACUCCUACAAGAAUUUUUUAAACACUACAUUUGCUUGAUGUAGAGAUGUCCUUUUUUUUAAAAGGAGUACUUUUAAGCGCAGGACUGGGGACCCUGCUGACACUGGCUUCUAGGCAAACUGGCUGGUUGUGUUCUCUGGGCUGUGAUGGUUCAGCUGGCAUUAUGUUAGAGUCUCUGUAAUAAAGAGUCACAUUAAAGCAAGGUUAUAUUUCUUAUAAUCAAUUCCAUCAAGUAAUGCACCGAGGAUUCUGGAAAGAGAAACCAAAGUCUUCAAAAAGGCGAGAAAGGAGGACAAGAGAAAGAGAUAAAAGAGCCCAAACAAUUCAGUUACAUGAAUGGGCCUAGUAUUAUUGUGGCAAAAUUACUUAUAAAUAAAAGCUAAAGAGGAAAAACAAGCUGUGUUUGGUAGGUGUACUCUGUGUUCCCUGUCUUGUUUUUCUGCUCUAAAGUAUAAAACGCUGUGUUGACGUAGGGAUGUAACUGCUAUGAAUAUUGAUGGCAGCCAAAGCCUUUUUUUCCUGUCUGUCCCAGUAAAUAAAGCAGAAAGGAUAAAGAGAGAGGAAGAAUUAUAAAAUCAGCUUGCUCUUUCCAGCUCAUCUUGCUCCCUUACAGCUCUAAACUCUCAAAAAGACGCUGACAAGCUACUUUCGGUGGUCAGGGUCCAAUUUGAGUACAAUCGAUGGAUGUUUUCAGGGGUUUCUGCUUCUGGUUAAAGCUACAGAGUUGCUUUUCCUUGUAGCUCCCACAGUUAGUGUCACUGCCUCAUGGAAGCCUUGGUGGAUUUCUCCUCUGUAGCGAGUAGUAAAGUCGGUUGCUAUACCUAAGAACGUACACAGUGGCAUGAGGGCACCUCCCAUGGGAGCCUGCCAGCCGGGGGUGUGGCAGUGAACUGGAAGAUGAGCCCUUGCUCUGGUGAGGCUCACGAGGACUCCAGAGAGUAAACAGGAGAGUCCUUAGAGGUCCGUGUGUGGCACGAGGUGCUGGGGUGGGCAUGCUGCUGCUCUGGGAGAUUUCAGCUUCUUAUCCCAGCUUGGAGGGCAUGGCUGGUGGUGCAGAGGGAGUGGGUCGAGGUCCAAGAAGGUCUUCACAGCCUGGUGAAGGGCGAAGGGUGCACGGGAUAAGCCAGGCCGAGAGCAGCACCUGAUGGGGAACCUGGAGGAAACGUGAGUAUGGAGAUUGGGGAUGAGUGAGGCUUUUUAUUCCUAUUAUGUUCUUUAUUUAUUUAUUUAUUUUUGAGCUAGGCUUGUUAAAUUGAAAACGUAUUGACUCUGGCUAACUCACACCACAGAGGAAUUCGUUAGACCGCUAAGAUGGUGUCCCAGGGAUCAAGGGGUGCCCCAAGGCCAGUUAGGAAUGGCAGGGACCUGGGGAUGAGAGAGCCCAUGGGACUGGCUAGUCAGCAUUACGAGUGGGGAGUUGAGAAUGGGGGUAGAGCCUGGGGUAACCCUACGGUUGGAUGGUUCUCCUGCUGGUAAAGAGGAAAGAUGCAGUGGCGAGUCUCUGUGAUGUCCCACCCAGGACUGGGACUCGUCUAUGAUCAAGGGGCGGUGCUCUGGUGGCAGAUGGCUAGAGCGAAGGGUGGCUUGGGCAAAAUCGUGCUCACAUGGAACAAGAAAGUCUUUGCAGGAGGAAAGUGAUUUAUCCCUUGGGUCUUAUCAGACACCUCAAGAUGCAGAACUUGCUCUUCGUCAGUUCCCUCUCCUGGAGUGUUGUCUGCGUCCACAUUCAAAACCCCCACCUCAGAGUUCCCCGUGGUGCAGUGGUUAACCAAUCUGACUAGGAACCGUGAGGUUGUAGGUUCCAUCCCUGGCUUUGCUCAGUGGGUUAAGGAUCCGACAUGAGCUGUGGUGUAGGUUGCAGACGUGGCUCGGAUCCCGAGUUGCUGUGGCUGUGGCUGUGGCGUAGUAGGCCAGCAGCUAUAGCUCCAAUUAGACCCCUAGCUUGGGAAUCUCCAUAUGCCACGGGAGUGGCC
rnacentral:lncRNA from 1 species